ACAGUGGUGGUUUAGUGGUAGAAUUCUCACUUUCCAUGCAGGGUACCCAGGUUCCAUUCCUGGCCAAUGCA
rnacentral:tRNA from 1 species